rnacentral:rRNA from 1 species
UACAGAGGGGGCGAGCGUUGUUCGGAAUUACUGGGCGUAAAGGGCGCGUAGGCGGCCCGCUAAGUCGAACGUGAAAUCCCCAGGCUCAACCUGGGAACUGCGUCCGAUACUGGCAGGCUUGAAUCCGGGAGAGGGAUGUGGAAUUCCAGGUGUAGCGGUGAAAUGCGUAGAUAUCUGGAGGAACACCGGUGGCGAAGGCGGCAUCCUGGACCGGUAUUGACGCUGAGGCGCGAAAGCCAGGGGAGCGAACGGG